GUUAGGUAAAUCCGGCUCUCUUUAAGGCUGAGACACGACGUCGAGCACCUACGGGUGUGAAGUCAUUGAUGCCAUGCUUCCAGGAAAAGCCUCUAAGCUUCAGAUUGUAAGGAAUCGUACCCCAAACCGACACAGGUGGUCGGGUAGAGAAUACCAAGGCGCUUGAGAGAACUCGGGUGAAGGAACUAGGCAAAAUGGUACCGUAACUUCGGGAGAAGGUACGCUCUUGAUGGUGAAGUCCCUUGCG
rnacentral:rRNA from 1 species